CCUGACUGACGACUCAGUUGUUAGCGAUUCCCAGCAGCCUUUCCCGCUCGUAUUCGACUUUUUCGCUUUGCUCUUGGACAACCUUCCAAAGUUUUGAAACAGAUCAUCAAUCACAACAUUUGAAAUACUGCAUGUAUGAAAUUCAAUUCAAACGUAUUUAAAACUAGUUGUGUUCUAGCGAGUUCAAAUAUUACAGCUAGUGUUUUGGUG
rnacentral:lncRNA from 1 species